AAAAAGUAUUUUUAUUGUCCAAGUGGUCCAGUGUGGAGUGGAGAGCCAGUGAGAUUGCAUCCUCCGUUGUCCUGUUGUGAUGGUAGGCGAACUGUAGUGAGUCGAGGUUCUUUUUGAGGUAGGAGUUGAUAUCCAAUAACCAUAACCAACCUCUCAAUGUACU